rnacentral:rRNA from 1 species
CUCAGGAUGAACGCUAGCGGGAGGCUUAACACAUGCAAGUCGAGGGGCAGCAUUGUAGCUUGCUACAGAUGGCGACCGGCGCACGGGUGAGUAACGCGUAUGCAACCUGCCUUUUACAGGGGGGAUAGCCCAGAGAAAUUUGGAUUAAUACCCCAUAGUAUCAAUUUACCGCAUGGUAAGUUGAUUAAAGAUUUAUCGGUAAAAGAUGGGCAUGCGUGGCAUUAGCUGGUUGGUAAGGUAACGGCUUACCAAGGCGACGAUGCCUAGGGGUUCUGAGAGGAUGACCCCCCACACUGGUACUGAGACACGGACCAGACUCCUACGGGAGGCAGCAGUGAGGAAUAUUGGUCAAUGGGCGAGAGCCUGAACCAGCCAUCCCGCGUGAAGGAAGACUGCCCUAUGGGUUGUAAACUUCUUUUCUGCACCAAGAACGUGCCCUACGUGUAAGGCAGUGACGGUAGUGCAGGAAUAAGCAUCGGCUAACUCCGUGCCAGCAGACGCGGUAAUACGGAGGAUGCGAGCGUUAUCCGGAUUCAUUGGGUAUAAAGGGUGCGUAGGCGGCUUCUUAAGUCAGUGGUGAAAUACUGCGGAUCAACCGUAAAACUGCCAUUGACACUGGGGGGAUUGAAUACAGAUGAAGUAAGCGGAAAUGAGUA